rnacentral:rRNA from 1 species
GCAUAUCGAUAGCGGAGGAAAAGAAACCAACAGGGAUGCCCUUAGUAACGGCGAAGUGAAGCGGCAACAGCUCAAAUUUGAAAUCUGGCCCCCGGGUCCGAGUUGUAAUUUGUAGAGGAUGCUUUUGGUGCGGUACCUUCCGAGUUCCCUGGAACGGGACGCCAUAGAGGGUGAGAGCCCCGUCUGGUUGGACGCCAAUCCUUUGUAAAGCUCCUUCAACGAGUCGAGUAGUUUGGGAAUGCUGCUCUAAAUGGGAGGUAUAUGUCUUCUAAAGCUAAAUAUUGGCCAGAGACCGAUAGCGCACAAGUAGAGUGAUCGAAAGAUGAAAAGCACUUUGAAAAGAGAGUUAAAAAGUACGUGAAAUUGUUGAAAGGGAAGCGCUCAUGACCAGACUUGGGCUUGGUUGAUCAUCCAGGGUUCUCCCUGGUGCACUCUUCCAGCCCAGGCCAGCAUCAGUUCGCUGUGGGGGAUAAAGGCUUCGGGAAUGUGGCUCCCUCGGGAGUGUUAUAGCCCGUUGUGUAAUACCCUGUGGUGGACUGAGGUUCGCGCAUUCGCAAGGAUGCUGGCGUAAUGGUCAUCAGCGACCCGUCUUGAAACACGGACCAAGGAGUCGUCUUCGUAUGCGAGUGUUCGGGUGUCAAACCCCUACGCGUAAUGAAAGUGAACGCAGGUGAGAGCUUCGGCGCAUCAUCGACCGAUCCUGAUGUUCUCGGAUGGAUUUGAGUAAGAGCAUACGGGGCCGGACCCGAAAGAAGGUGAACUAUGCCUGUAUAGGGUGAAGCCAGAGGAAACUCUGGUGGAGGCUCGCAGCGGUUCUGACGUGCAAAUCGAUCGUCAAAUAUGGGCAUGGGGGCGAAAGACUAAUCGAACCUUCUAGUAGCUGGUUUCCGCCGA